CGCGCCUCCUUCCUCUUCUCGCACCCGCGCCUUCCUCUCCUCUUCCUCUUGCCCCUCGCACGCCCACUACUGUCUCCUUCCCUGCCACCGUCCGGCCUCCUCCCCUCACGUCCUCCUCCUUCCACCCCCUCCGAUCUGGCGCCACCCAAACCCUAACCCCCCGUCCCGCCCCCGGCUCCGGCUCCCGCGGGAGGGUAGGAGGGAUGGCGAGGCGAGGCAAAGGCGGCGGUGUAUGGGACGUGGCGUGGGCGGUGUGGCCCAGGGGGUCGGCGCGGCCGCGGCUUCUCGUCGUCUUCGCCGUCACGUGGGCGCUGCCAUGGGCGAGCUCGAGCUCGACGGGGGAGCAGCGGGGAGAGGAACGUGAGGCCAUGGGGGAGGAAGAAGAUGGCCCUCUUGUUCCCAAGGUUGGUCUUCGCGUGACACUGGUUAAGGUUGGUCUGCUGUCUGCAGGUGCUCGUGGUUCUGGUCGGUUCGUCCUGCUGCGUCUUCGGUCAUCGCUCUACAGAACACAUAAUUGAUACACCUAGGCUCAGCUUCUCUGCAUUGAUAUGAAGGCAUGGAGCGUGUUUCUUUUGUUUUCAACUCGAGAGGCGGCCAGAGAGCCUGGCUAUGCAAGAGGUGUCAUCUUCUAUCACGAAACUCCGGGCAACAAGAACUUCACCAAGAAAAGGACACCUAGGUUUUGGCACAAACUAUUUUGUGCCGGUGUGAAGUGGGGACUGUAUGCGGACAUCGAGUAAUUCCUGGGAUUUGGUAGGAAGCACAUGACCUGUAACUUCAAGAAGACGAACUAUGAAGAGGCGGAUCGCCCUCUGACAGUGUCGUAAAGAAGGCCAUUCUGCAGGUCAUUGAUAUGUCAGAGCUCGGUGUCGUGUCCGCCGGCCGAGCGGCGAGCUGGAGCUGCAUGUCGCUGAACAAGGUGGUCCUACUGUGAGGAUCUCAUCUCUCACUCUAUGUGUGUCUCUCAGUCCCGUUCCCCUUUAUGGUAAUCAUUCAUGCCUGUAGGGAUCACGAAGAUUUUUCUUGGUUUAAUUUGUAGUUGUGGAUUGCUGUGAUUGUUACUGCAAUAGUGGAUCAUAUAUAUAUAUACACUUGGCAACUCAGUUUAGGAUAUCGCUUGGUAAAUGAUGAUUGUUACUGCAAUAGUGGAUCAUAUAUAUACACUUGGCA